rnacentral:lncRNA from 1 species
AUAAUUUAUUUGUAGUGGGAUGCUGCUUAACACUUUAAAUCAUUUUUGUCAACAGUCAUCAUCACAACUACACAGAAGUUAACACCAUCAAGAAGACAAAAUAUGAUCCUUUACACAAUGCAUGUUACAUAGAUAAAUGGUCCACACAUACCACAGGUCAUUAACAACAGUUGAUGUUUAUCACUAGGAUUGCAUGGACAUUACAGUUUAAAACAUUAAGUCUUCGGAUGCUAUGUGUUACAAAACCGUUGGAACUAUCGGCCUUCUUUCACUCACAGCAGUAUCAGAAGUCCCGAAGAAGCCUGAAGGUGCCUUUUUUGCAUUGAAAAUGAAAACAGUGUGUUAUUGCUAAAGGAAGACUUUCUUACUGAUUGGUCAACAAAUGAGAGAGAUUGGGAAUUUAAUUUGGACUGUAGCGAUGACGACUUGCGAUGUCUGUAUUGGGAUCCUUUGUGCGUUUACUUUGUUUUUCACACAUGUGAACUACGGAGGGUCACAUUCUGCAACUAAUUCAGGUAAUAAUACUUAAUAACAGUUAAAUUAAUAUUAAUUAUACGUUAUUAACCUAUUGUCAAUUUGGACGUACUCGAACAUAAUGCUUAGGAUGACGAGCAUAUGCUACUUAUGUACAUAAUAUCGUCAGAUUAUUUUAUAUAGGUCAUUUUUGUUGGGGUUGUAGAUAAUUGCGAACUUCAGUCUACCAAAUUUUUUCUAAAAAGGCUUGGUUGAUGUUUAUAGCUCCACUAC